rnacentral:rRNA from 1 species
UGAACGCUGGCGGCGUGCCUAACACAUGCAAGUCGAACGAAGCACUUGUACGAUCCCUCGGGGUGACGACUUGUGACUGAGUGGCGGACGGGUGAGUAACGCGUGGGAAACCUGCCCUAUACCGGGGGAUAACAGUUGGAAACGACUGCUAAUACCGCAUAAGCGCACGAGAUGGCAUCAUCUAGUGUGAAAAAACUCCGGGUGGUAUAGGAUGGGUCCCCGCGUCUGAUUAGCUAGUUGGUGAGGUAACGGCCCACCAAGGCCGACGAUCAGUAGCCGACCUGAGAGGGUGACCGGCCACAUUGGGACUGAGACACGGCCCAAACUCCUACGGGAGGCAGCAGUGGGGAAUAUUGCACAAUGGGCGAAAGCCUGAUGCAGCCGACGCCGCGUGAGCGAUGAAGUAUUUCGGUAUGUAAAGCUCUAUCAGCAGGGAAGAACUAAAUGACGGUACCUGACUAAGAAGCUCCGGCUAAAUACGUGCCAGCCGCCGC